AGGGUGUAAACGCUGCAGACUUGGUGUUGGAGGCCCUUUGGGGCAUUCAGUGCCGGAGAGAAGUUGUUAAGUCUGCUACUUGGGGAGUACGUCCGCAAAGGAUGAAACUUAAAGGAAUUGGCGGGGGAGCACCGCAACGGGAGGAGCGUGCGGUUUAAUUGGAUUCAACGCCGAAAAACUCACCAGCAGCGACUGUUACAUGAAAGUCAGGUUGAUGACCUACUAGAUUUCUANAGAGAGGUGCAUGGCGGUCAGU
rnacentral:rRNA from 1 species